CAACCCGCCCAUCACUUGGGGAUAACCUUGCGAAAGUAAGACUAAUACCCAAUGACGUCUCUNNNNNACAUCUGAAAGAGAUUAAAGAUUUAUCGGUGAUGGAUGGGGAUGCGUCUGGUUAGCUUGUUGGCGGGGUAACGGCCCACCAAGGCGGCGAUCAGUAGGGGUUCUGAGAGGAAGGUCCCCCACAUUGGAACUGAGACACGGUCCAAACUCCUACGGGAGGCAGCAGUGAGGAAUAUUGGUCAAUGGGCGAGAGCCUGAACCAGCCAAGUAGCGUGCAGGAUGACGGCCCUAUGGGUUGUAAACUGCUUUUAUAAGGGAAUAAAGUUAGUCUCGUGAGACUUUUUGCAUGUACCUUAUGAAUAAGGACCGGCUAAUUCCGUGCCAGCAGCCGCGGUAAUACGGAAGGUCCGGGCGUUAUCCGGAUUUAUUGGGUUUAAAGGGAGCGUAGGCCGGAGAUUAAGCGUGUUGUGAAAUGUAGACGCUCAACGUCUGCACUGCAGCGCGAACUGGUUUCCUUGAGUACGCACAAAGUGGGCGGAAUUCGUGGUGUAGCGGUGAAAUGCUUAGAUAUCACGAAGAACUCCGAUUG
rnacentral:rRNA from 1 species